rnacentral:lncRNA from 1 species
UAACUGAGGUUGCUAGUGUUUCAAAGGGACCUGUAAUCCUAGUUAUCAUGUCUGGAGGUGGUAUGGAUGUACAAUUUGCUGUUGAUAACCCUAAAGUUACAAGCAUUGUUUGGAUUGGUUUCCCUGGUGAAGAUGGUGGUGGUGCCCUAGCUGAUAUCAUCUUUGGAUAUUACAAUCCAAGUAAGUUUUCUCUUUCCAUAUUCAAGUAAACUUUACCAAAUCAAGAUCUAAAUUUCUUUUUUAAGAGGUUUAGUUCAUCAAUGCUGCAUAAAUGGCCUUCAUAGGGCAAACCCUCUCCCCACCUUAUGGUGUUUUAAAGGCAAGUCGAUGAUGCCAUAAGUCAAUGGGAGGGUGAGGCAAGAGUCCUUCACUGCGCUAUCUAGUGAGGAUAAUAUAUCCCAUAUAGUAGCAUAGUCUUAUCCCGCUAUUAGUAGUCGAAGUGUGGGCGGACUAAUUCAAGAAAAACUUUCACAUGUGCCUUUAGUACCUAAUAUAGGCAUAUAUCCUGAGCUGUGAGGUUUAAGGAGAGCCUUGCAACAACGAUAAAAGUUGUCUCAGUGUGACCUAUAGGUCAUGAGUUCAAAUCAGUCACUAAUGUUUGUGUUCGGCUACAUCACACCCUUGGGGUGCGGUCCUUUCUCGGGUCUUGUCUGAUCAUGGGAUACCUUGUGUACCGGUCUAUCCAUUUUUUUUUAUCCUGAUCCAUGUGGUUAAGCCUCAUUAAAUCAAGAUCAUAAUUUUUAACACAUUCCCCUAUGACUAAAUGCCUUAUAAAUUUUGUUUGGAAUGUUGCAGGUGGAAGGCUUCCAAUGACAUGGUAUCCACAAUCAUAUGCAGACAAAGUUGAUAUGACUAACAUGAACAUGAGGGCAGAUCCUAAAACAGGAUUUCCUGGAAGAAGUUACAGGUUCUACAAAGGUCCAACUGUUUUUAACUUUGGAGAUGGAUUAAGUUACUCUAACUACAAACACCACCUAGUACAAGCACCAAAAUAUGUCUCCAUUCCUCUAGAGGAAGGACAUGCUUGUCGAUCGACGAGGUGCAAGUCCAUUGAUGCUGUUAAUGAGCAGAGCUGCAGCAACUUAGGAUAUGACAUUCACUUGAGAGUUAAGAAUGUUG